AAGAAGACAGACUUGUCCUGUGGAGACACAGCGGGCAUGGCGUUCCUGAUUGUCUUUGCAUGUUCAGUACGGGCGGACAGCCUUCUCUGGAGACAUACAGAAGUGGCGUUUCACUGAGUAUGCGGAUCAGGCAUUCUUAGAGUGAAAAGCCAGGAGAAAUUGGCUUCAGCGCUCUGGGAUGGCUGGUAGUGGAAGGUCGAAGUUGCAGCCUUCUGUUGGUUAUCAACAAAGAUGGGAUCAGCACCUUGCCAGUUCAGCAUCUGCGGUCAAGCUGAAGCCUAUUUGGCAGCAUGAUUUUAGGCUUUCUGCUGAUAUGCAUACGAGUGGCUUGACUGCAGUGUCAAGUUGCAGAGCUCUAGAACAGGGUCCAAAGGGGCUUCCUUUCACCGACACUUAGGAAUCCUUGUAACAUGAGCUUCUCUAUCAAGCUGUCUUCUCGUCACUGCCAGUUAUUCAUCUUGGUUGUCUGAAUCCUGCAGUACUUGGAGGAAAUAAAUGGUUGUCCAUGAUGGGAAUAACUCUAGUCUCAGCACCCAUUCUCUGAGCUGGUCAUCGGGCCUUUCCAACUGUCACUGUCUCAUGUAAUCUCCUUUAAUAGCAGCACAUAAUUAGCUUUAUGCUGAUCAGAGGCAUUGGGGAUGGUGGUGGUAAUAUUCAAAUCCAAACAUCAAAAUCCCAAGGAAGAUAACUAGAAGAGACAUAUGUCUAAGCCAGCAUUUAUGACUUUUAGUCCUAAAGUCUGUAACUGUUGAUUUAUGCACAUGAGCUUUGAACUAUGGUAUGGAAAUUUAUCAAUUAAGAAUCCAGAGGAGUUUUGGAAGGAAAGUACAGAUGUCUCUCCAAAUGGCAAUAUGUCACUCACAUAUUU